UAGGGAAUCUUCGGCAAUGGACGAAAGUCUGACCGAGCAACGCCGCGUGAGUGAAGAAGGUUUUCGGAUCGUAAAACUCUGUUGUUAGAGAAGAACAAGGACGUUAGUAACUGAACGUCCCCUGACGGUAUCUAACCAGAAAGCCACGGCUAACUACGUGCCAGCAGCCGCGGUAAUACGUAGGUGGCAAGCGUUGUCCGGAUUUAUUGGGCGUAAAGCGAGCGCAGGCGGUUUGUUAAGUCUGAUGUGAAAGCCCCCGGCUCAACCGGGGAGGGUCAUUGGAAACUGGGAGGCUUGAGUGCAGAAGAGGGGGGUGGAAUUCCAUGUGUAGCGGUGAAAUGCGUAGAUAUAUGGAGGAAAACCAGUGGCGAAGGCGGCUGUCUGGUCUGUAACUGACGCUGAGGAUCGAAAGCGUGGGGAGCAAACAGG
rnacentral:rRNA from 1 species